GCCCGGCUUCGCUCUCUUACUGCGCGCGCCUCACGCGCUUUUCUGGGGCCCCUCCCUCACAUUUCGCGGCUCCCCCUCCGCUGCUUUUUCGGCUUCCUGGGGUUCCCCCACUCACGUUUUGGUGUCCCCUUCUCACAUUUUAGUGGUGUCCCCCAAUUCACGGGUCGGAGGGCGGGGCGGUUACCCAAGAGAGGGGAACUGGCCUUACAACGAGACUGGGGAGAUUCGGAUUAGAGAUUCGGAAAAAAUUGGGUGGUCACGCAUUGGAAUAGGUUACCCAGGGAGGUGGUGGGGUCGCCGUUGCUGCAGGUGUUCAAGAGGUGUCCGGAUCUGGCGCCGGGUGACGGUUUAGGGGUUACAGUGGCAGCAAGCAGCAGUCACCUGGCCAGAAGCACCAGGGGUGCUCCACGAAGCUCCACGUGCUGGCCCUCAAGCGUCCGCAGCCAUUGUGGUGCACCAUGGCAUUUCCACACCAGGAAGGACUCUCUGUUCCCAGUGGAGAAUUAAACAAGGAAACGCAUUGAUCCUUCCUCUCUCAAAUGCAGAGAUCAAUCAACUAUUACAAAAACAUUACAAGCACUCUGACAGAAAUUCUUACCCAGACAUCCCUCCUCGAUUCAUCCCAUGGCCUGGUCCUGACUGACCAGGCAUGCUUCUAUCACCACCUAAUUUAAAAAGAAAAAAAAGAAAAAAUACAGGCUUUUGUGUUUUCCUAAUAAAAAAGUCACCUUGUUCCCAGAAUUUCAUUUGCUUUCUCAGUAAUUUAACUACCACUAGAAGUUCAGCAGCAGUAAUUCACAGAAAAAACCACAAUCACACUGGUAAGCAGCAAGUGUACCUUGCCAUCUCUCAUGAUCCCGUCCCAUCAUUCCUCCAUCCACA